UUGUAGCUUUGCUGUAAAAGGCUAACAUUUGAGUCCCAGAGAGUGAAGAAUCAUAAAGUUUUGGAAGAGUAAAACCUCGACUGGAGGCCUGAAAACCGGCUUGCAGACAGCAUAGUGUGGGACUUCUCAGCCUCUCUAAGUUACAGGAAUAACCCCCUGGAUCCACUACACUCGAGCCAAGGCAGCAGCAGAUCCAGACGAGCCAGGACUUCGGAGCCACCGAACCUCCACCUCGAAGGGAGCCCCCACAGUCCGGCUGAAGAGAACUGAAGGACAGUGGGCCUUCUACCCGAGGAACCAGAGACCUGAUCCCACCCCAGAGUAGUGACCAACCAUCUUAGUUGGCAACCAAGGCAUGAUCCCUGCAGAAUAGACGAGCCCUAGAUCUCCUCACAGCAGAAAAAGGGGGGACUUGCCUAUUCCUAGGCUGGAAUCUUAACCCAGAAGGUUAAGGAGCUGAAAGAUGGUGCGAAGCGCUACCGAGAGUCAGGGCAAGGGACAUGGAGCUUAGAUACCCAAAUCUGGCUCCGCUGGCUGGCUCCAUUCCUAGGCCCCCUGAUAUUACUCCUCUUAGGAAUAAGUCUAGGACCCUGGCUGCUGCGCACCCUCAUUAAUAACCUAGAGACCGCGGUCACCAGACGAGCCGCUGCUUGAGUGCUGCUCCUCCAGCAUCACCGAUACCAAAGACUCCCGACCCAACCCCAUCAGAGUGACCACCGUGGCUUGUGUGAUGAUGCUAAGACUCAGGCCAAUCUCGUCUAGCAUCAAAGGGGGGAAUGAUAAGGGCAAGAUGACUUGGGAGGAGCAGCCUAGCCAGAGACCCCUCCCAGGUUAACUGUUAAUCAUUGCUUAUCUGUUCCUGUAGCCCGUUUUCACAUCCCUCCCCCCGCCUGGGUAGCACAUCAAUCUCAUCAAUCUCCCACCUGAAUGCUAAUCCCUUCCCCCACCUGGGAAGCCCAUCCGUUUCCCGCCCGGAAUGCUAGGGCUUAUA